UCUUCUAAUAUUUCUUAUGUGUUAAGGCUGUGGUAAAAAUAGAUGAUACAACUUCAGGUAUAGAAGCUGGUCUCCAUGCUGGAUGCUGGACUGUAGGGAUUGCUAAAACAGGAAACUAUGUUGGGAUGACUGAGGAUGAGAUGAAUGAAAUGAAUCCUGUUGAGCUGAGAGCCAAGGUUGAGAAUGCAACCAGGAUCCUUUAUCAGGCUGGAGCUCAUUUCGUGAUAGAAACAACUAAUGAUCUACCAGCAGUUAUAGAAGAGAUAAAUAACAGACUCAGGAUGGGACUCAAACCUUAAUCUUUGUAACAAGGAUAACAAUAAUAACAUUGUCGAGUGGAGGGAUUAAUUAUAAUUAUCUUUAAUUGUGAUUAAUCAUUAAACCAAUCCUGUUAAUAAAAAAUCUAUUUAUAU